AAUGUCGAAUAGAGAAAUUCAUUCGUGUAAUGCGACAAACGUAUAUUUUAAAUGUGUGGACGUAAAGUCGGAAAGAAUUUUUCGAUUAUUUUCGCCAUAUUUUAAAUACGAUUUUGUUGUGAACGCGUGCACUUUUCUCUUUGUAGGACGUCGCGAUCCGUUGAUAAAUAAUAUAGUGUAAGAUUUAUGACGAUAGGUAAAUGACCGUUUGUUUCGUAAAACGUAAAAAAUUUUGCGAUUAACUAAACGGAACCUUAACGAUACUAAUCUACAUAGUCGACGGUAAAAGAAAAUAAUAGUAUAAAACCGCCUUAUUCGGCGUUAGUAUCGUAACAAGUAUUAUAGUAGGGUUAAACCGUGAUAGAAUAAUUUAUUGUAUUCGGUACCUCUAUAGUAUUGUUAGUUACGAAUAUAAUCUAACGGAGUUUUUUACUUAUCGGCGACGCUAUAGGUUUGGGUAAUUUCAGGACCCGUCUUGAAACACGGACCAAGGAGUCUAGCAUGUACGCGAGUCAUUGGGUAUAUUAUAUUGAAAAACCUAAAGGCGUAAUGAAAGUAAAUAUAAUACGGAUAAUAACGUAUUUAUAUAGGGAAGAUGA
rnacentral:rRNA from 1 species